rnacentral:rRNA from 1 species
UACAGAGGUCCCGAGCGUUGUUCGGAUUCAUUGGGCGUAAAGGGUGCGUAGGCGGCUUUCUAAGUUUGAUGUGAAAUCCUGGGGCUCAACCCUGGAACUGCAUUGAAUACUGGGAGGCUAGAGAACUGGAGAGGAGACUGGAAUUUCCGGUGUAGCGGUGAAAUGCGUAGAUAUCGGAAAGGAACAUCAGUGGCGAAAAGCGGCUUCCUGGACCAGAACUGACGAUCAGGCUCGAAAAGCGUGGGGGAGCAAACAGGG